rnacentral:rRNA from 1 species
UACGGAGGGUGCAAGCGUUAUUCGGAAUCAUUGGGUGUAAAGCGCGUGUAGGCGGCUAGGUAAGUCAGAUGUGAAAUCUCCGGGCUUAACUCGGAAAGUGCAUUUGAAACUGCUUAGCUUGAGUCCCGGAGAGGAAGGUGGAAUUCCCAGUGUAGAGGUGAAAUUCGUAGAUAUUGGGAGGAACAUCGGUGGCGAAGGCGACCUUCUGGACGGAGACUGACGCUGAGACGCGAAAGCGUGGGGAGCAAACAGGAUUAGAUACCCUGGUAGUCCACGCCGUAAACGAUGGGCACUAGGUGUAGGGGGUAUUGACCCCCCCUGUGCCGUAGCUAACGCAUUAAGUGCCCCACCUGGGGAGUACGGCCGCAAGGCUAAA